rnacentral:rRNA from 1 species
GGAAUCUUCCACAAUGGACGAAAGUCUGAUGGAGCAACGCCGCGUGAGUGAAGAAGGUUUUCGGAUCGUAAAACUCUGUUGUUGGAGAAGAACACGUUUGAGAGUAACUGUUCAGACGUUGACGGUAUCCAACCAGAAAGCCACGGCUAACUACGUGCCAGCAGCCGCGGUAAUACGUAGGUGGCAAGCGUUAUCCGGAUUUAUUGGGCGUAAAGCGAGCGCAGGCGGUUUCUUAAGUCUGAUGUGAAAGCCUUCGGCUUAACCGAAGAAGUGCAUCGGAAACUGGGAAACUUGAGUGCAGAAGAGGACAGUGGAACUCCAUGUGUAGCGGUGAAAUGCGUAGAUAUAUGGAAGAACACCAGCGGCGAAGGCGGUUACCUGGUCUGCUACUGACGCUCAGGCACGAAAGCGUGGGGAGCAAAUA